AGCUGAGGGCGAGGACCCUCACCGCAGCGCACGCCGGGAAAGGGGGCGGGCGGAACGGCAGCGCGAGAAGGGGCGGUGGGGCGGUGACGUCAGUGCGGCCGCCGAGGAAUGGAGUGGCGGGGUGGCCCGAGGCGGCGGUUCCCUGACGGGCAGUAGGGCGCGAGGGGCGGGGAUGCCCACGGCCUUCCCUUUGGUGGGCCGGAAGGCCGAGGGUGCCCGGAAGCCGUGGGCUUUUGUGCGGGAUCGCAGGCCACUGGGAGCAGGUACUGCGAGGGUCGGCUACGCCACUGGAGCGGCGGCCUGGGGGCCACCAAAGUGAACCUCAGUAAGUGUACCCUCCUGAAGGCAGAAAUCAGAGAAAAUGUUCUCAUGGGUCACAAAGCCAAACUCUUAGGACACAGAACAAAAGGAAAAACCUCAUUCUGUUUUUACAUAGAGGAUCCACAGCAAAGUUUGUUUAAAUGGAUGGCCAGUCUCUUUAACUCAACAGUCUCUGAGGUCAGCUUGAAAGUUGCCCAAGGAGCUAGUUCCACAAUAUUUUCUCCUAAUCUAAAUUUACAGGAAGAAAAAAAGAUUCUCACCACUCUAUCUCCAUUGGACUCUGUAGAGCUUCCAGGAGGCUGACGUGGUAAGAGAUCUUACCUUUUGCCAGUUGGAUGUUGGAUGUUGGAUGUCCAGGAUCUCUCAGCUGCUACAGUGUCUGGAGUGAGCGAUGUCCAGUGAAUUAAAGUAUCCUGCCAACUACACCAACUGAAGAGAAGAAAAAAUUCUUCUCUACUCUCAACAUCUUCCAGCUGGACUAGGAAUUAAAUUGACAUGACACAGAUUAACGAACAGGAAAAAAUACCAGAGUUUCAUUACGCGUGUACAGAAGUCCAGUUAUGGAAUUGAGACUUCAAGAAAUGAUGAAGGCAGGCAGUUUUCAUACUCUUUAGACAAAGAGACAAUAAAUCUGUGAGGAAUUGACAGAACAAAGAAAACUUAACUUUGGGAGCCUCAAUUAGUAAGAAAUUCUAAACAGAAUUUGGGCUGGGGUCACAAAUUAGUAAAAAGUAACAAGAGUUAUUUAUACAGCCUUCUGGGCUCUGAAUUUCCCAUCUCUGGUGAGAAGGGUGUCUCUUUAGCUCCUGGUACAGGGAGGGUACCUUUCACCUGGGAGAUUUAUUUUCUGCUUUCAGGGGGACAGAGGAGGGUCUGAGUGUCCUUCUUGCAUAGGCUGUUUCUUCAGUAAAUUUUACUUAGAAUAAUCAAUAUACCAAAGUGGCACGUUUUGGGGUAGCCUGCCCUUGGCCCCUUCAGGCAGUCAGGAAACUGAGGGGUUUUUUUGUUUUGUUUUUAAGUUUUUAUUUAUUCAUUUAAAGUAAUCUCUACACCCAAUGUGGGAAUCAAACUCACCAUCCUGAGAUCAAGAGUCAUGCUCUUGGGGCACCUGGGUGGCUCAGUAGAUUAAGUGUCUGACUCUUGAUUUCGGCUCAGGUCAUCAUCACAUGAACCGUGAGAUCAAGCCCUGAGUCAUGCUUGGUGCUGACAGCGCAGAAUCCCUGCUUAGGAUUCUCUCUGUCCCUUUCUCUCUGCCCUUCCCCCACUCACAUGGGAGCUUGCUAGCUCUCUCUCAAAAUAAAUAAAUAAACAUUAAAAAAAAAAAAAAGAGUCAUAUGCUCUUCUGACUGAGCCAGCCAGGUGCCCUGGCAAUUGAGGUUUGUAUACCAUAUGCUGAGCCAUGGAGAAAAGGGUGGGGGGUUAGGGCUUCAAUGGGGAGAAAGACAAUUCAUAAGAAGAUGAGAAGAGCAAAUGUUUGGUAAACAAAUGUUUGUCACGCGAGGCAGAUAAGUUUUCUGUUUUUUUAAACAGCAUUUUUAAAAAGCUUGUUUGUUUGUUUGUUUGUUUGUUUGGAGAGACAGAAUCCCAAGAAGGGUCUGCACAGUCAACGUGAGGCUCAACAUGGGGGCUUACCCCCACGGACUGUGAGAUCACGACAGCUGGGAUCAAGAGUUGGACGGGCAAGGGACUAAGCCACCCAGGCGCCCCACAGAUAACUCUUUCUGAUGUAAACAGUUAUCUCUGGUAACAGCUCUCUUCCUGUUACAGGCCCUCUAUCUGAAUUCCUUGGGCGGUUUUCCUGAGUCAGCUUAAUUUCCUUCAGUUCAAAACAAUCUACAUGCCCAAGUGGCACACUCUGGGGUUGUGUUUUCUACUCCCCCUCAACUUCUUAAACAAGCCCUCACAAUAA